rnacentral:lncRNA from 1 species
AUAGGAGUUCCUCUGCUGCAGGAAGGCGGCGGCCGCCGCCUGGUGCUGCUGCUGGAGCUGCGGGCUGACGGGCGACCUCCGGCUCUGCGGCUGCUGCGGCGCCGCGGGCGGCGGGGGCUGCUGUUGAGGUAUAUUCAUGGCGGGCGGCGGCGGAGGGGGCACAGCGGUAGCCGAGAAGGGGCCGCCGAAGCCGCCGCCGCCGCCGCCGCUCGUCGGAACGCUGAGCCCAGUGCAGCCGUGCGGCGACACGGGCGAGAAGCUAGGGAAGAAGGCCGGGUUCAUGGACGACGGCAGCCCGGGGUAGAAGCCGUUCUCUGAGUCGGGGCUGGGCGGCGGCAUGGCGCUGAGCGAGCCGCCGCUGCCGCCGCCCGGGGUGGUGGCAGACGAGCCGGGCGGCUGCGGCUGCGGCUGGGGCGGCUGCUGGGGUGGCGGCGGCUGCUGCUGCGGCUGGGUCGGCGGCGGCUGCUGGGGCUGGGGUGGCGGCGACGCGGUCUGCACCGACCAGGGGGUGCCGAAGCCGGGCAGCGGCGGCGGCGACGCGGAGCCGCCUCCCCCUCCGCCUCCUGGGGGCCCCCCGCCCCCGCCGCCGCCGCCGCCGCCCGGGUGUGGAAGGUCCGGGCUCUGCAGGCUGCUGAAGGCGCCCGCGCCAAGCGCACCUCCGGGCAGGAGGUUACUGGGACUGUUGAGCAGAGGGUGGUUGGGGGACUCCAUGGAGCCCGGCGCGGGGUUCACCGGCGUCGAGGAGGCCAAGCCCGCAUUGGGGGACUCGGCGGCGCUGCCCUCGCCCGCGGCUGGGGUCUUGCGAGGGCUGCCCGCGCCUCCGUGGCGGCGCCGCGGGGCUGCAGGCGGCGAGGGAGGGAGCUGCGGGAGCGGGGGCAGGUCUGCCGGACGCUGCCGCGGGGCGAAGUCCUGCGGCGAGAGGUGCUGCUGAUGCAGGAGGCUGAACUGCUGCGGCGGCUGUUGCUGCUGGCGCUGAGCGAGCUGCGCCGGCUGGAGGAGCGGGCCGGCUGGCGGCGGCGGCGGGCUGAACCGACCGGGGCAGUGGAGCGGCGGAGGCGGCGGCGGCGGCUUCGAGUCCGGAGGGUGGGGAAGGUGGGGAGGGCUGAACUCUUUCCUCUUCUGGCUGCUCAGCUGCUGCUGCUGCCGCUUACUGAAGUCCUGCGGGGAGGAGGUGCGGCAGCAGCAGCAGGAGGAGGCGGAGGAGGAGGAGGGGUGGUGCAGACUCGGUUUGAAGUCCUGGGAGGGGAGGAGGUGGGUCACACCCGCGAUCGUGCCGCCGCCGGGGUGGUGGUCGGGGAGUUUCUCCGUGGCCGCCGCCCCCGAAAGCGGCCGCGCCGGCUGCUGUGUCAGCCCCAGAAGCAGCUCAUCCUGCAUGGUCUGCUGAUGCGCCAGGAACGGGGAGGAAGAGGAAGCGGCGGCGGCCGGGCUGCCCGCGCCGCCGCCGAGGGGGACGGAGAAGGGGGAGGCGGCCUCUAAGAAGCCGGUGACAGGCAACGGUGGUGGCGACAGUGGGCCGAAGGGCGUGGCGGAGGGCAGCGGGUUGACGGACCCCACGGCGUAAGGACCAUACGCCUCGCCGCAGAACAGGGGCCCAGGACUGCUACUUCGGAGCGGGGCGGUCUGCAGCACCCCAAACCCGAAAUCCCUCAUUUAUCAGGCCGCCGGCAGCGGGAGGAGACGCUCCUCGUCCCCUGCCCCACCUAGGAAGCCGCCGGCGCUGGGGUUGCGCGGCCGUGGUGGAAGGAGGGGGAGUCAGUGAGAGAGGGACACCGUGACUGAGCCAGGGGGCACCGACUUCGGCCCCACCACCCCUCGCGGCGAUCGCCGCCGCCGCCGCCGUCGCAGUCGCCGUAGCCGCCCUGGCCGCUUAAGAACCCCGGAACGUGCGUCAGCGCCACCUCACAAUCGCGCCGCCCCCCGCGGUGCGUCCCGGCACGCGCGGGCGCGAGGCCACCGCGUCCCCGUCGCCCCUCCCCGCCCCUCAUUACUAUGCAGACGCAGCCGAGGGCGCGCUCGCGCUCCCGGGAGGGCGGGAGCGAGCGGCGUGUCCCGUUGGGUCUCUCCGCUCCCGGGGAAAUGGACAGGCCGGUUGGGGUGGGGGUCGGCUGGCAAACAGUGGUCGGGAGCAUUGGGCGGGCGCGCGCACGAGGGCAAGCACGCGCGGGAGGGAGGGACGGUUCCUGGGCAACGGCCCCUCCUUGGCGCGGGAUCCGCGCAGAGUCUGCCUGGGUCGCACGCGUCUCCGCCCCUCGCGGUGCCUCCUCCUUCCUGUCACCUCGGUUCCGCCCUGGGUGGGGAGAAGCCCUGCUGCACCACUCGGGCUUCCCAGAGCGGGGCUGGCCCGCGGGGGAAACUGAGGCCCGGGACCCCGACCGGCGCCUGCACUGUGCGACCCGCGUAGAAAUAGGCGCCCGAGGGGCCCCCAGCGCAACGCGGGAGCCCGGCCCAGCCCGGGGGUCCUGUGGUGAACUAGCGUCUGGGCUCUGCCGGCUUGAAGUCCGCUGAGCGCCUCGCCGCGCACCUCUAGACCCCGAGUCCCCGAUCUAGGGCCUCCUUGUAGCCCUAGGUAGCGCCCUCUAAGCUUGUUUCUGUUUUUAGGCGCUGGUAGGAGUGCUGUCACCGACGUCGUAGAGCCGCCGAGGGUGUUUCUGUAGGGUAAACAUGAAGCCUCGGCUAUAUUCCAGGCAUUUUCACUUGGGUAAGAAGGAACAAAGUCCCUGGAACAAACACGCUCCGCGUGGUUAUUUACACACUCGGAUGCGUGGAACGGGUUCCACGGCGAGCUCCCAUAGUAACCCCGGGCCAGCUCCGCUUCAUAAAAGCCUUUCGUGUGCCAUCAGGGCUGCAGCGUGGGACUCCUCCCCACCACAUUCAUUCCGGCGUCCCCGCCCCUUCCCCCCAGGGAGACUCUAAUUUAUUCCUAAGCUUUAUGAAUUUUCAAGGGAGAAAUAGUUCUUACAUCAGGGAAAAAAGGAGGUUCUGACUCAGCAGCAGACUUGUUGAGACUUGCAAAAUGGAAGGGAGAGAGCUUUCCAUGGUAGAGCUCUUUAGAAGCAUUAGAGGAGGAACUAAUCCUGUGUUUCCUUUUGUAUAGAAACAUUUUACAUAAAGUAUUUGAAGGUCUAGAUAAAGAAUAACAGAGUGAUCCAUACUACAUGAUGAGGUGAACUUUAUGUUUCUGUUUUGUAAUUUUAACUGUUUUGCUUGAUGCUUAGAGAAAUGAAACUAUUAAAUGAAUCCUAGAAUAUAGACUCAAACCCCCAAAGCAAUAG